rnacentral:rRNA from 1 species
UACGGAGGGAGCUAGCGUUGUUCGGAAUUACUGGGCGUAAAGCGCACGUAGGCGGCUUUGUAAGUUAGAGGUGAAAGCCCGGGGCUCAACCCCGGAAUUGCCUUUAAGACUGCAUCGCUUGAAUCCGGGAGAGGUGAGUGGAAUUCCGAGUGUAGAGGCGAAAUUCGUAGAUAUUCGGAAGAACACCAGUGGCGAAGGCGGCUCACUGGACCGGUAUUGACGCUGAGGUGCGAAGGCGUGGGGAGCGAACGGG